rnacentral:rRNA from 1 species
GAUGAACGCUGGCGGCGUGCCUAAUACAUGCAAGUCGAGCGAACAGACGAGGAGCUUGCUCCUCUGACGUUAGCGGCGGACGGGUGAGUAACACGUGGAUAACCUACCUAUAAGACUGGGAUAACUUCGGGAAACCGGAGCUAAUACCGGAUAAUAUAUUGAACCGCAUGGUUCAAUAGUGAAAGACGGUUUUGCUGUCACUUAUAGAUGGAUCCGCGCCGCAUUAGCUAGUUGGUAAGGUAACGGCUUACCAAGGCAACGAUGCGUAGCCGACCUGAGAGGGUGAUCGGCCACACUGGAACUGAGACACGGUCCAGACUACUACGGGAGGCAGCAGUAGGGAACCUGCCGCAAUGGGCGAAAGCUUGACGGAGCAACGCCGCGUGAGUGAUGAAGGUCUUCGGAUCGUAAAACUCGGUUACUAGGGAAGAACAAAUGUGUAAGUAACUAUGCACGGCUUGACGGUACCUAAUCAGAAAGCCACGGCUAACUACGUG